UACGGAGGGGGCUAGCGUUGUUCGGAAUUACUGGGCGUAAAGGCUCGUAGGCGGCCAACUAAGUCAGACGUGAAUCCCUCGGCUUAACCGGGGAACUGCGUCUGAUACUGGAUGGCUUGAGUUUGGGAGAGGGAUGCGGAAUUCCAGGUGUAGCGGUGAAAUGCGUAGAUAUCUGGAGGAACACCGGUGGCGAAGGCGGCAUCCUGGACCAACACUGACGCUGAGGAGCGAAAGCCAGGGGAGCAAACGGG
rnacentral:rRNA from 1 species